AACUGCAUGCAGCCAGCAAGCUCAGAUCUCAGGUCUCAGAUCUCACUCACUCGAGAGCCAAAGGUUUUGCUUUUGCUUGCAUCUCUGGAGAUGGAUGGACGAGUCUACGGAGUACAAACCGUCCCGGGUCAGAUAUAGAGCCAGCAGGGACGGGCCGGGCUGCAUCCAUGCAUACCUAACUACGGAGUAGACUCCGUAGACCUUGGUCCCACAUGCAUCAAUGAUUCCCUCGAUUGACUGUGUCGAGGAAUCCACUGCUGACCCGUCUGCAACCUCGCCCGGGCCCAGCUUGGGAUUAUCACUCACUGGUCGGGAUAACAUAUGGAGUCGAAGGAGCAUUUGACAUUUGAUAGUUUAC
rnacentral:sRNA from 1 species